AAAAUACCUUGAUAAUUUUGAUCCGAUUGCGAAUAUAGUCCUGUGAGAAAUUAGAGGGAAAAUAUUCACAGAUUUCCCUGAAAAAUUCGCAUUUUAACGGAAAAUUGGCCACGGUUAAUGGCUUAUACGGCGUUCUCCCAUAGCACAGCAUAGCAAUUUGACACUCAUCGAACGGACAUCAUUCGAGUUCCUGCCACUAAUGACAUAUACAUUUGGCUCCAGGGAUCAUUUCCAGACCUCCCGUUGCGCAGAUGCUGACACUUCUGAAAGCAACUACGUCAUACGGAGCUUUUAGUCAUGCGACUUGGGCCCUUCAAUGUCUAUCCACAUUUUCCGCUUAGUCAAAGGUUGAGAAAACAAGGCAUCAUCAGAGAUUGCCUCGCUGCAGUGCGUGACAAGAGUCACCAAGUCUUCUGACGCAUACCUAUUGACACACAAGAAACAAAAAAAUCGCGAAAAAACAGUGCCGUGUUCCGCCUCGGUGAUUGCGACGAGAUAUUCCGACGAUUCCCGACAGCGCAUGUCUUCAAAACAACCCUAUUCACAAGCCAAUACGAUUGCAGUACAAGUGACAGUGGAUAAAUUUAACGAUCUAGAAGUAACCCUUUUUCUACCUAGAAGUGCGGUUACUUCAAUUACUUUAAAAGUACUUGGACUUUACUCUCGAAAUUGCAGUUUUUAAAAACUUAAAACUUGAAGUGAGUCACAAUUUUGAUCCUUUACCAGUUUAGUUCAGAUAUGGUGUGUUCCUCGCAGUUGUUAAUGACAGCCGUGAGGAUGUUGCUGUUGAGCUUAGGCGUGGCAGCCCGAUCUUCGGUUCCGAUCUCCCGGCUGAGUUUCCAGAAGGGCGACGUGAUCGUGCACGGAGGCCAGUACUUCUACCACAUCGUCAAGAGGGUGAACCUGCCCCCGUUCCACUCCUUCCUGGCGCUCUCCGACCACGAGCUCUUCUCGACGACCCUCGUCCGCGAGGUCGUCGACGGGCAGAAGCGAUGGCGUUCGCGGAUGCUCCUCGUCGACACGAAACGCUUGAGCUCGCGCGAGAAGGACGUCCUCGCCAAGAAGCUCAAACCCAAGAAGAAGCACAAGACGAUCGGGGACGUCGGGGUGGCUCUGGCCUGGCGCUUGAUCAGGAGCAAUCUCAAGCUCUACUUCCACGCGACGCGCUGCAACACGAACCAUUACGUUGACUACGUCACGUACGGCACGACGUUCGGCCGCUGGUGGAAGCCGCUCUACAUGCCCACGCACCCCAAGUGCCCGCUCCACCUCGUCGUCACGGAUACCUCCAACGUGUCCAACCGAUGGGGUCCGGGUUACAUCACGGCCUUGAAAACGAAGAAAGGGGAGAUUCAAUUGCCGUAG
rnacentral:lncRNA from 1 species